CUCUCUUUGUAAAUAAUAUAUAAAGAGUUGGGCCUGCUCGGUGAACAAAAGUUUUAACAGCUGCGGUAUUUUAACUGUACUAAGGUAGCAUAAUAAUUUGCCUUAUAAAUUGAGGCUAGAAUGAAUGGUUUGACGAAGGUUAAUCUGUCUCCAUCUUACUUAUUAGAAUUUAAUUUUAAAGUGAAAAAGCUUUGAUUUUUUAAAGGGACGAGAAGACCCUAUUGAGCUUAUAAUUUGUUAUUGUUAUGUAAAUUUAUUAAUAUAACUGUAAUAUAAAUUUUAAUUGGGGUGAUUAAGGAAUAAUAAUAUUAGUAACUUCCUUAUAAAAAAUAUUAGUAAAUAAAGUAACCAAUAUUAAAUAUUGCUUUUAUAAUAGUUACCAUAGGGAUAACAGCGUUAUUUAUUUAGAGAGUUCCUAUUGAAAAAUAAGAUUGCGACCUCGAUGUUGGAUUAAAGUAACCACAGGGUGCAGAAGCUCUGUUAGGUAAAUCUGUUCGAUUUUUAAAACUUUACA
rnacentral:rRNA from 1 species